UGUGUGUGUCACCUUUGCUCUUUGCCCACAGGAAUCACCUGCAGUUGUUGCUCAUGUUGAAGAUGCUCUUGGCACAGUGAUGACUACAAAGUAUUAACAUAUAGGGAGCUCCAUCCUCUCAGAGCAUGUCAUAUUGCUUUUCUAUCUCCCAAUUGUGAUUGCAUUUUGUCAAGUCUCAUUCAUUCCCUGACAUCUGCAGCUGGAUCUUCCCUGUUAGCUCCCCAGCAGUAGUUCCAGUCCUUCACACUUAGUGUCAAUUCCAAGUUCCAUUCAAACCCUGAUUUAUGGGGAUAAUUAGCAGAGCUAAUAAAUCAGAUGAAACUAAGAUGUCUGUGAUAACCCAUUACACAGCUCCACUCCCAUAUCCAAAUGUGGCUCUUUAUCAUCCCAUCAGUGGCCUGUCUGAGACCCCACAAGAGAGAACCCAUGCCCAAGGCACAAGAUGCUGAAGGUAAAGGAGAACCUGCCCUCCUCAGGCGCAUCUGGGCAGAUCCCAAUCAGUCCAAAGAGAAAGUUCAUAUUCCUAAAUGGAUCUUGCUGAUCUUCUCUCUCCACAGACCCUCAUUUUGACAGGGAGAAGCCAAGAGUGAAGAAGGCAGAUCCCAGUCCUGAUGGAAACCAUUCUGAAAUUCCAUGGACCCGUCCCUGCACAGCAUGUGAGGAGACCCAUCCAUGCUCCUUGUCCAGUGUUUUUGGGACCAGAAAGGCUGCCAGAACUGAACCCUCACCACGUUCCCUUAUGGGAACUGGCUCAGGGUCAGUUCCAGGGAAAUUUGAGGUCCCUUUUUAAAUACAGGUGUUUUCUGACCCACAAGGAGCAAAACCCAUUUUCCCUGGUACUUUGAUACUCAGGUUUCUCAACUUCUCUUCUCAAAACCUUUCUGCUAUUGAGCAUUUUCUUCCAUGUCUUUCAAAUUCUCAUACCAGCUCACUCCAUGGUCUUCCUUAUGUAAUUCCAGCUAUGUGGCUACGUGUCUUUCUGGAUUUGUAUCCUCCACAUCCACCAUGUGCAGCUGGGUGUUGUCCAUCCCACCGGCCAAAGGAUGAGCCUGCAGCUCCAGAACCACUCUCCUUUUUCUUCAGGCACAUUUUACAGCCAAGCCAUUGAAACCACGAGCUCCCACCCUCCCCACGUGGGCCCAAGGCCAGCACAGGGCAAAGCUCAGUCAGGGAGUGCUGCAGCAAGGAGCAAUUUGAUCCUUGAUCAUACAAACUGCUGAAUGGCCUUUGCUGUGAGAUGAUGAACCUGAUUAAUUUGACAUCAUCCCUGGGCAUUUUCAUCCCAUAAGAGACAGUCGGGAGCUGCUGCUGAUGGGGGAUGUUCUCCUUCUGUGCCAGUGUGCCCUGACCAACUCCUGCUUCUCCUCUUGCUCCCUACAAUCCUCCUGAGGUCAACAAGGCAAAAUUUCCCCAUUAUUUCACAGAAAAGCCACAGCUGCUGGUGGGAUGGAAACCUCACUCAGCAGCCCUUUUGCUGGGAAGGUAAUUUGGUCUUUAAAACU